rnacentral:rRNA from 1 species
CCUACGGGUGGCAGCAGUGGGGAAUAUUGCACAAUGGGCGAAAGCCUGAUGCAGCAACGCCGCGUGAAUGAAGACGGUUUUCGGAUUGUAAACUUCUGUUCUUAGUGAAGAAUAAUGACGGUAACUAAGGAGCAAGCCACGGCUAACUACGUGCCAGCAGCCGCGGUAACACGUAGGUCGCAAGCGUUGUCCGGAAUGACUGGGUUUAAAGGGAGCGUAGGCGGGAAGCCAAGUCAGCUGUGAAAACUACGGGCUUAACCUGUAGACUGCAGUUGACACUGUCUUUCUUGAGUGAAGUAGAGGUUGGCGGAAUUCCGAGUGUAGCGGUGAAAGGCGUAGAUAUUCGGAGGAACACCGGUGGCGAAGGCGGCCAACUGGGCUUUAACUGACGCUGAGGCUCGAAAGUGUGGGGAGCAAACAGGAUUAGAUACCCCUGUAGUC